rnacentral:rRNA from 1 species
UACGUAGGGUCCGAGCGUUGUCCGGAAUUAUUGGGCGUAAAGGGCUCGUAGGCGGUCUGUUGCGUCGGGAGUGAAAACUCAGGGCUUAACCCUGAGCCUGCUUCCGAUACGGCAGACUAGAGGUAUGCAGGGAGAACGGAAUUCCUGGUGUAGCGGUGAAAUGCGCAGAUAUCAGGAGGAACACCGGUGGUGUAGACGGCUUCUGGACCGUAACUGACGCUGAGACACGAAAGCGUGGGUAGCAAACAGG